rnacentral:rRNA from 1 species
AGGAUUGAAUGGGCGAAAGCCUGAUGCAGCAACGCCGCGUGAGCGAUGAAGGCCUUCGGGUCGUAAAGCUCUGUCCUCAAGGAAGAUAAUGACGGUACUUGAGGAGGAAGCCCCGGCUAACUACGUGCCAGCAGCCGCGGUAAUACGUAGGGGGCUAGCGUUAUCCGGAAUUACUGGGCGUAAAGGGUGCGUAGGCGGUCUUUCAAGCCAGAAGUGAAAGGCUACGGCUCAACCGUAGUAAGCUUUUGGAACUGUAAGACUUGAGUGCAGGAGAGGAGAGUGGAAUUCCUAGUGUAGCGGUAAAAUGCGUAGAUAUUAGGAGGAACACCAGUAGCGAAGGCGGCUCUCUGGACUGUAACUGACGCUGAGGCACGAAAGCGUGGGGAGCAAACAGGAUUAGAUACCCUGGU